GACGAAGGGGGCUAGCGUUGUUCGGAAUUACUGGGCGUAAAGCGCGUGUAGGCGGUUGUCCAAGUUGGAUGUGAAAGCCUUGAGCUUAACUCAAGAAAUGCAUUCAGGACUGGAUGACUAGAGGACCGGAGAGGAUAGUGGAAUUCCCGGUGUAGUGGUGAAAUACGUAGAGAUUGGGAAGAACACCAGUGGCGAAGGCGGCUAUCUGGACGGUUUCUGACGCUAAGACGCGAAAGCGUGGGGAGCAAACAGG
rnacentral:rRNA from 1 species